UCGGCCCCGGUUCACGCAUCCGCAUCCCGCGUCUGCGACCCGGUGCC
rfam:Streptomyces alboflavus strain MDJK44, complete genome.